GACGAACGCUAGCUACAGGCUUAACACAUGCAAGUCGAGGGACCGGCGCGCGGGUGAGUAACGCGUAUCCAACCUACCCACUACUCAGGCAUAACCCGUUGAAAGACGGACUAAUUCCUGAUGAUAUUGGAUGGGUAUGCUUCUGAUUAGGUUGUUGGUGAGGUAACGGCCCACCAAGACUUCGAUCAGUGGGGGUACUGAGAGGAAGGUCCCCGACAUGGGAACUCGUACCCGAUCCAAACUCCUACGGGAGGCAGCAGUGAGGAAUAGUGGUCAAUGGAUGUAAAGCAGAACCAGCCAAGUAGCGUGCAGGAUGAUGGGAUAUGGGGUGUAAUCGUCUUGUAUGGGAGAAUAUGUACCAAAUGAAUAAGGACCGGCUAAUUCCGUGCCAGCAGCCGCGGUAAUAC
rnacentral:rRNA from 1 species